rnacentral:misc_RNA from 1 species
AACUUUCGGCAACGGAUCUCUUGGCUCUCGCAUCGUUGAAGAACGCAGCGAAAUGCGAUAUGUAAUGUGAAUUGCAGAAUUCAGUGAAUCAUCGAAUCUUUGAACGCACCUUGCGCUCCUUGGUAUUCCGAGGAGCUUGCCUGUUUGAGUGUCAUUAUAUUCUCAACCUUCCAACUUUUAUUAGCUUGGUUAGGCUUGGAUGUGGGGGUUGCGGGCUUCAUUAACGAGGUCGGCUCUCCUUAAAUGUAUUAGCUGAACUUUUGUGGAACGUCUAUUGGUGUGAUAAUUAUCUACGCCGUGGAUGUGAAGCAGCUUUAUGAAGUUCAGCUUCUAAUCGUCCCUUGACUUGGACAAUUCUUGACAAUUUGACCUCAAAUCAGGUAGGACUACCCGCUGAACUUAAGCAUAUCAAUAAGCGGAGGCU